rnacentral:rRNA from 1 species
UACAUAGGGGGCACGCGGUAUCCGGAUUUACUGGGAGUAAAGGGUGCGUAGGUGGCAUGGUAAGUCAGAUGUGAAAACUUGGGGCUCAACUUCAAGAUUGCAUCUGAAACUGCUAAGCUAGAGUGCAGGAGAGGAAAGCGGAAUUCCGAGUGUAGCGGUGAAAUGCGUAGAGAUUCGGAGGAACACCAGUAGCGAAGGUGGCUUACUGGACUGUAAUUGACAAUGAGGCACGAAAGCGUGGGGAGCGAACAGG